AUUGAACGCUGGCGGCAGGCUUAACACAUGCAAGUCGAGCGGAGAUGAGGUGCUUGCACCUUAUCUUAGCGGCGGACGGGUGAGUAAUGCUUAGGAAUCUGCCUAUUAGUGGGGGACAACAUUCCGAAAGGAAUGCUAAUACCGCAUACGUCCUACGGGAGAAAGCAGGGGAUCUUCGGACCUUGCGCUAAUAGAUGAGCCUAAGUCGGAUUAGCUAGUUGGUGGGGUAAAGGCCUACCAAGGCGACGAUCUGUAGCGGGUCUGAGAGGAUGAUCCGCCAAACUGGGACUGAGACACGGGCCAGACUCCGACGGGAGGCAGCAGUGGGGAAUAUUGGACAAUGGGGGGAACCCUGAUCCAGCCAUGCCGCGUGUGUGAAGAAGGCCUUAUGGUUGUAAAGCACUUUAAGCGAGGAGGAGGCUACUGAGACUAAUACUCUUGGAUAGUGGACGUUACUCGCAGAAUAAGCACCGGCUAACUCUGUGCCAGCAGCCGCAGUAA
rnacentral:rRNA from 1 species